GGCGGCAUAGCUCAGUUGGUUAGAGCGCACGACUCAUAAUCGUGAGGUCCCGAGAUCGAGUCUCGGUGCCGCUACCC
rnacentral:tRNA from 1 species